rnacentral:tRNA from 2 species
GCGGGAAUAGCUCAGUGGUAGAGCAUCACCUUGCCAAGGUGGGGGUCGCGGGUUCAAAUCCCGUUUCCCGCU